GCACAUCUCCUUAAUGCUAGCGUGUUUAAAGCUCUUUAAAACUAGAAAGAUGCCAUAAGUUUUUGAGGUUCUUCUACACGUAUAAUAAUCAAAACUCACCCUCAUUCCAGUUAACCUUCAUGUCAUUACCCCAAAGGAGGUUAACUGCACGGUGUUGUGAUUAAGCAAAAGGCUUUUUUUUUAGUUAACGAGGAAGGAAUACUAGUGUGUGAGCGAGUGUGUUGGGUUUGACGAGGUGUGAAAGUGACAUUACGCUUCGUCACUGCUGGAGUCAAAAGAACAUCGCUUACAGAGCAGCUCGUUUCUAAUCCUGUCCCUGACGUAGCUUUCCAUCAGGCUUUAGCAGAUAGCAUGUUGAUGAAUUAGUUCCGUGGCCCAGGAAAGUUAGCAUGCUUUAUACGUCCAAAAAUGACACUAGAGAACAUGAGGAAAACACCACGGUAUGGAACAGGGAAGUGUUGAUAUACUACGUUUACAAGUAUGCUGAAUAUCAAGGUGUUCGUAAUAAAGAAUUUUACAGACUGCUGAAGCGUACCGGAGACUGAAGAGUACAUAGAGUGCUGAGGUGUAACAGGAAGUGCUGACAGUGACAGAGCGACGGGCUUCUGAUCCGAUUAUUAGGCCGAGCGCAGAGUCUUUGCUCUCAGGUCUUGUAGCAGAUGACGCGCAUGAAGACGUUCUUUCCAUCAGAUAACGAGUUCAUCCCGAGUUCAGUAUAACAGAGACGAGCAAGAAGGACGCUGCGUUCUCCUUCUCGUGCCCCCCCGAGGAGUGUGUGAGGGUGUGUGAAAGAGCGAGACACAAUGUUUCACGUAGGAGAUCGUCAGUGCGGAGGUGUGAGACGUGUGACACAGUCAACCUGAGCAAACGGUCAAGGGAAACGUUGUGACAGGUCGCAUCAGAGACCUUCGACCUUCCCUUCGUCUUCUCGUGUGAAGAACUGCAUGAUUCAUAUUCCUCACACACUUUACACAUCUCCUUGUCUGAGAGAUCGAGUCCACUGAAGAGCAUCACUGAACCACUAACCCUGGUGUAAUGCAGCUCUAUUUAUGUGUUCAUUGUGGAUCAGAUAUUGUGUGAGGUUCCUGGCGGUAUUAAAACACCAGACUAUAACCCGACGCCACAUCCUGGUCAGGUUUAACACUUAACUCCCAGGAGCAGAUCACUGGAAUACUAUGACUAUGGAAGACUAUGCUUGUUGAUGGAGGGUGAGAUGAUAUAUCAGUACACCAGGGAUCAUCAAGCCUGUAAAGCUGACCUCAGGCUCUCAGCUCUCAGAACAAAAAGAACCUGUGCUCAGAUUCUGAAGUGAUUUAAGGACCUCAGCACAGGAGAAAUCCUUCAUGGUAUGAAAGCUUCAGUCGGUUUUAAAAAUAAACACCUUGUU